rnacentral:rRNA from 1 species
CCGUACGGGUGCCGCGUUCGGAAUGAGUACGAUUCGAACCACCUAACGAGGAACGAUCGGAGGGCAAGUCUGGUGCCAGCAGCCGCGGUAAUUCCAGCUCCAAUAGCGUACGUUAAAGUUGCUGCAGUUAAAAAAGCUCGUAGUUGAACGUUCGGGUUCCGCGGGACGGGGCCGCCCCGCGAGGGACGGCGCCGCCCCGGGGCUCGUGAUAUCUCAUCUCGCCGCCCGUCGCGAGGCGGACGGAGGGAUGGAUGAGGUUACCUGGAAAAAAUCGGGGCGAUCUAGGCGGGCGAACCUCGCCAACGAACGAUCGGACAUGGGAUAACGGAAGAGGGCGUCGGCUCGACUUCGUCGGUUCCUCGGGCCGAGGCACGUACGGUGAAUAGGGACGGUCGGGGCCGCCCGUACCGGGUCGUGAGAGGUGAAAUUCUAGGAUCGACCCGAGACGAACCGCCGCGAAAGCAUUCGGCAAGGACGCUUUCAUUAAUCAAGAACGAAAGUCGGGGGAUCGAAGACGAUCAGAUACCGUCGUAGUCCCGACCGUAAACGAUGCCG